UCUGAUUGACUAUCUAUGAUGCCUCUACUAUAAUGAUUGUAGGUGGCUAGGACAUGCCUCCAACUAUCAUAAAUCAAUACAUAAGAAUAAUAACAAUAAAGUACAUGAACUAAAACUAACUGGAGUCUCCGAAACAAGAGAACUCAAUAAUCGUUGGCUGAAAGCUGAGAAUUGUCUGACUCUGGUGUGUGGACUACAUCUGGUACCUACAUCAUGAAGGAAUAUAGCCACAAAUACAUAUAUAUGGUCAGUACUUUGGAAUAUACUGAGUACAUGGAGACGUGCACUAAAUCAUGGAAAUAUUUAAAAUAUGCUUUAAAACUAAGGAAAUAAGUUAUUUGUUGAAGCAUAUAUUUAAAACAUGGCUAUACAUAAAAACUAUAAGUCAUAGUAAGAUUUAUAAAUCAUGACCUAAAAAUAAUUCUAUAAGUUGGGAAAUGAAAAACAUGAAUAUUGUAUGUGAAUCUCAUAUAAAGUUGAACAUGUUGUAAAACUGAACUGAGGAUCUUGUAUGGAUACUAAGCAUUAAAACAUAAGCAUGUAAAACUGAGAAUGUAAGACCUAGUAAAGCAUGUACUGAAAUAAUCUGAAUAACUAAAAAUCUGAUUACUUGGUCAAGCAAACCUAAACUUGUAUAGACUGAGUAUAGACUGAAACUGUGGGAGGUAUCAUGUAACCGACAUACCCCAAUCUGAGCUAAUCAAGGUUCAACUUGUAACCCUAGUUGAAAAAUUGUCAGUACCUUGCCAUGGGUACUAACACAUGGCUAUAUGGAUCCACUAAACUAGUAUCCCAAAGGACUAGGGAGUCACCCUCUACUAGCAGGUGGCUCUAGAAGAAUGUCAACCCUCAACUGGAAGGAAGGCCUCUUAUACCUACGCUGGCUACAUAGUUCUGGAACUCAGGGACUGCUACUAAAGGUCAACCCUCUACUGGCAGGUGAUUCCCUAUCCCUGGGUUCAUUCAGUGCUAAAUUCUACUCCUAAUUAAACUAACACUGGAAUCAUGAACUGAAGACUAAUAUGCUCAGACAUUGUGUUCUAAAAACUGACAUUGCAUGCAUAAUCUGAAGUAACCACGAACUUGUAAACUAAUGUAUUUAACAUGAAAUAGUACUAGUGAGUUCAUUACAAAAAUGAUAAUUUGAAUAUGGGAAUAAAAUCAUGAUUCUGUCUGGCUUGUUACUUGAAAAUAGAAAUAUGUAAAAACACAUAGAUAUCGGGUGUUCAUAACCUGCCAGCACUGAAUGAUACUUUAAAUAUGAUAACAUCAUCUAAAUCAUUGGUAGUAAAUCAUAAUUUGGGGGACCCAAAACAUAGUGCCCUUGAAUAACUAUUAACCUCAUGAAUUACAACAUGGAGAUAAGUUAAGCUUGAGAGGAUAUCAUGUUUACAUGACUAAAUACAUGAAUUUAACAAAUUGACAUGGUAUUGACCAAACAUGACAUGGUAAUUUAGAAUUUAAAUCAUAUAGAAUUAUAAUUUAUAUGAAAAAGCUAAUAGCAUCGCUUGAAUGUAAAAUUAAUGCGGAAACAUAAAUAAAUUUCAUGGUUUUCACUAAAUUAAAUCAUAGUUAAGAGUAAAAUUCAUACUCAAACCUAAAAGAGAAUUUUUGGGACUCAAUGGGCGAAAGGAACCUAUUGGUGAAUACCCCACAUACCUCAAUGGUUAGAUUCUUAAAGAAUGCUUGAACUUGAAAAUUUGAAGUCUUGAAUUCUUUGGAGUAGAAGCUUGAAUUCUUUGUUCUUGGGAAGGAGGAGGAUUUCUA
rnacentral:lncRNA from 1 species